AUACGGAGGGUGCAAGCGUUACUCGGAAUCACUGGGCGUAAAGCGCGCGCAGGCGGCUAUUUAAGUUGGAUGUGAAAGCCUAUGGCUCAACCAUAGAACUGCAUCCAAAACUAUUUAGCUAGAGUGUGGGAGAGGAAGAUGGAAUUAGUUGUGUAGGGGUAAAAUCCGUAGAGAUAACUAGGAAUACCAAAAGCGAAGGCAAUCUUCUGGAACACUACUGACGCUGGGGCGCGAAAGCGUGGGGAGCAAACAGGAUUAGAAACCCUAGUAGUCC
rnacentral:rRNA from 1 species